GCUUGAAGUGGAAGGAAGCGGAUCGCUUUUAUAUGAGUGAUAUUUAAAAUUGAGUGCUUCGGUGCUCAAUUUUUUUGUUCCAGUCCCAAUUUUCGCUC
rnacentral:tRNA from 1 species